rnacentral:lncRNA from 1 species
UAAGAAAAGUAAAGGUUACAAGAAAUCCAAUCUAUUUGAAGAUUUGUUUUUUUAACCAUAAUAAUCCUAAAAUAAUUAGAUUGGAUGGAGAUCUUAUGACAUUAAAUAUUACUGUACUAUUAUAAACUUUAAUUGCUACAUUUAAACAAAUAGUCUCAUAAGUAAUGUCUCUAGAAGACAACAAAUGACUAUCUAUGAUUUCUACAUAUA